GACGGAGGAUGCAAGUGUUAUCCGGAAUCACUGGGCGUAAAGCGUCUGUAGGUGGUCAAAUAAGUCAACUGUUAAAUCUUGAGGCUCAACCUCAAAAUCGCAGUCGAAACUAUUAGACUAGAGUAUAGUAGGGGUAAAGGGAAUUUCCAGUGGAGCGGUGAAGUGCGUAGAGAUUGGAAAGAACACCGAUGGCGAAGGCACUUUACUGGGCUAUUACUAACACUCAGAGACGAAAGCUAGGGUAGCAAAUGGG
rnacentral:rRNA from 1 species